UACGUAGGGUGCAAGCGUUAAUCGGAAUUACUGGGCGUAAAGCGUGCGCAGGCGGUGAUGUAAGACAGGUGUGAAAUCCCCGGGCUUAACCUGGGAACUGCAUUUGUGACUGCAUCGCUGGAGUGCGGCAGAGGGGGAUGGAAUUCCGCGUGUAGCAGUGAAAUGCGUAGAUAUGCGGAGGAACACCGAUGGCGAAGGCAAUCCCCUGGGCCUGCACUGACGCUCAUGCACGAAAGCGU
rnacentral:rRNA from 1 species